GCCUCUGUAGUUUAGUAGGUUAGAACAACGGACUUUUAAUCCGGAAGUCGCGGGUUCAAUUCCCGUCGGGGGUA